rnacentral:rRNA from 1 species
AUUGAACGCUGGCGGCAUGCCUUACACAUGCAAGUCGAACGGCAGCACGGGAGCUUGCUCCUGGUGGCGAGUGGCGAACGGGUGAGUAAUAUAUCGGAACGUACCCUAGAGUGGGGAUAACGCAGCGAAAGUUGCGCUAAUACCGCAUACGAUCUACGGAUGAAAGUGGGGGAUCGCAAGACCUCAUGCUCAUGGAGCGGCCGAUAUCUGAUUAGCUAGUUGGUGGGGUAAAGGCCUACCAAGGCUUCGAUCAGUAGCUGGUCUGAGAGGACGACCAGCCACACUGGAACUGAGACACGGUCCAGACUCCUACGGGAGGCAGCAGUGGGGGAAUUUUGGACAAUGGGCGAAAGCCUGAUCCAGCAAUGCCGCGUGAGUGAAGAAGGCCUCGGGUUGUAAGUACUCUUUGUCUAGGGAAGGAAACGGUAGGACUCUAAUACAGAUCACUAAU